UACGUAUGGAGCAAGCGUUAUCCGGAUUUACUGGGUGUAAAGGGUGCGUAGGUGGCAGUGCAAGUCAGAUGUGAAAGGCCGGGGCUCAACCCCGGAGCUGCAUUUGAAACUGCAUAGCUAGAGUACAGGAGAGGCAGGCGGAAUUCCUAGUGUAGCGGUGAAAUGCGUAGAUAUUAGGAGGAACACCAGUGGCGAAGGCGGCCUGCUGGACUGUUACUGACACUGAGGCACGAAAGCGUGGGGAGCAAACA
rnacentral:rRNA from 1 species